rfam:Clostridium sp. HMP27 Clostridium-HMP27_contig_29, whole genome shotgun sequence.
UAAACUACAUAGUGAUAUGUAGCUGAACUAUCAGAAGUCAGCAGAGGUCAUAGUACCACGCUAAACGCGUUAGCGUGGGAAGGAC